GAUUUCAUACCAGAGAUGAGUUGGGAGAUUGCUCACGAGCAGGGUCGCGCGAUCAGAUCCUGUGCUGCCCUUUGGUUUCGUACAGUUUCGUACGUUAGCUUUCACAGUGUUUUGUUCGGCGGUUCAUCGGAUGUGUUCAUUCGUGUCUAUUUUGAUUUUCUGCAAUUAAGGUAGAAACGAUAGUGCAACAGAUUACUAUUCUCUUCAUUUGCUGCAUUCCUAUUUCAGAGUCUAUUGAACGCUAAACCAUGUUUUAAACAACUAAAAUCAAAUAGACUUUAUUAAGAAGUAAGUUACACGGUCUUGUAAGACUCGUCACAAUGAUUGACUUACAAAAGUUGGAAGACGAAGCUAGAGCGACGGCUACAAAACAUGUAAUAAAUAUGCUUCAACGUCCUGGUCAGUUAGAGAAAGUAGAACAGUAUAAACGUAGGAUUAGUCGAAAGAAGGCUUCUGUCGAGACUAUGCUCAAAACUGCCAUGCAGAGUCAGUUGGAUGGAGUAAGAGUUCGUUUUGAUCAAUUACAAAGUUCAUUGGAAAGCAUAUCUGCUGUUCAACAUGAGCUUGAAUCUAUUCGGCAGUCAUUUGAGGCUACAGUGGAAUUAUAUACAAAAUUACAAGUGGUUCAGGAAGAGAAUAUGCGCCAUUCUCAGUAUGCUACUGCUAAGGAGAAUUUAAAGCAUAUAUUUACCGUGCCAGAAAGCGUGGAAAAGACCAAACAGUGGAUUAAUGAAGGAAAGUUGCUGCAUGCCCACCAAAGUCUUAUGGAUCUUGAAAAUUCCAGAGAUGAUCUGCUUUAUGAACUUCACAAACUCCCAAAUCAGUCAACGGCUGAUAAUAUGACUAAGGUUAUGUUGAAGGCUUACUUUGAAGAAGUUGAAACAUUAUCAUUACUUAUGGAAAAGCAAAUUAGAUUAGUCCUAAGCAGGACAUUAAAUACGGUAAGAAAGGAACCUACAGUCAUUGUCACUGCCCUUCGUAUUAUCGAAAGGGAGGAGAAAGCUGAUCAAUUUGCAAUACAGAGACAGCGGCAAAGUGGUUUUUUACCCCCAGGCAGGCCUAAAAAGUGGAAAGAAAUGGCUAUGAAAGUUCUUGAGAAAUCUGUAGCUAAUAGAAUUGAAGGUAUUCAAAUGGAAGAGAGGGCUGACGAUAAAAUGUGGUUGGUCAGAUAUUUGGAGUUGACAAGACUUUUGAUUCUAGAAGAUUUAAGGGUUGUCAAGACACUCUGUGGCCCGUGUUUUCCUCCUCAUUACGAUAUUGUACAUAAAUUUGUUGAAAUGUAUCACACUAAUUUAUCUCAACACCUUAAAGAUAUAAUAGCAGGUGGUCUUGAAGGAAACGAGUAUGUUUCUUUAUUAGGAUGGAUUGUAAACACAUAUAUGGGUCCAGAAUUAAUGAGCCAUCCUGAAUUAAACAUAGACAUAGCUGACAUUGGGCCGUUAUUAAGUGGUGAGAUAUUGCGCGAAAUGCAAGAAAAGUAUUUAAAGAACAUGUGUCGAAACUAUGAAGACUGGACCAAGAAAACUCUUGAAACGGAAAAGGUUGAUUGGUGGAGUGGUGUUCUACCCGAAGGUAGUUCGCACGAGACGUACUAUCAUACAGCUGCACCAGUUAUAAUUUUCCAAAUGGUGGAUCAGAAUCUUCAAGUUACCAAAACAAUUGGUGCAGACUUAACGGCAAAGGCCCUCGUUCUUUGCAUCGACCAAGUGACUAAGUAUGGAUAUAUGUACCGUCAAGCAAUACUUGAAUUUAAGAGCAAACACUUUGAAGAUAGAAGUCGAGUUCCAUACUUUACUCAUCAUAUGAUUACAGUAGUAAAUAAUUGUUUGCAAUUCAUUGAGCUAGCACAACAAAUGAAGCAGUUAUACUGGGUACCAGAUGCCGAUUGUAGUGGAGAGGCAGCUGUUAAAUUCGAAACACUUCUUGCCAAUUAUCAACAGCUAAGGAAUGAAGCAGCUAUGAUUUUAUUGGAAGAAUCCUUCCUGGAUUUGGAACUUCAUUUUCAAGAUCUGCUUACACCGAAAUGGUUGUCUUCUCCUAUUCCAGUGGAAACUAUUUGUGUAACCUUGGAUGACUAUUUUCAAGAUUAUAAUCAUCUGCGUGUAAAAAACUUUGAAUAUGUCAUUACAGAAGCUCAAAAUCUAAUCGCUAAGCGUUAUAUUUCGGCAAUGUUACAAAGGAAAGUAUCUCUGAAAACAUAUGAUGAGUGCUUAACUUGUACCUCUAAGAUAAUGACUGAAGCAGAAAAGUUGAAGAGUUUUUUCACAAGAAUUGCACCGAAGGUUGCUAAUUUUGACUCUCCGUUCGAAAUUAUCAAGCGUUUAGCUGAAGUAUUGCGCUGUGAAGAUUCUGAAAUUCUCUCCCUUGACUUACAUUCGUUAGUUGAAAAGUACCCAGACAUGACCGAGGAUCACUUGAUCAGAUUGCUGAGUCUUAGAGGUGACAUACCUCGCAGUGAAGCUAAAGAAAAAGUCACAUUCAUUUUUGAGGCCCAACGUAAUCGAAGAGUAGCACAACCAACAUCAAAUAGUAUAUUCAAACAAAUCAUUAUUCAAGAUAGUUUCCUCAAUUGGAAACCGUGAAUCUAUCCCAAGACAGUAUUUUGUAGAUGUAUUGGAGGUUUUAAAAAUCCCAUAUGCCUGCCUUCAAAUUCCAAUUUAAAUGGACAGUAGGGGAUACAAUCAGCCUUGAUGUCGGAGUGGAUGUAUCGUUCAUCUGAUUAGUCCAGUGCCGAUUUGUUUAAUAUGGCGACAUGUUACAUUUUUCUUAAUACUCAGUGAGAAUGAAUCGCUCUAGUUAUCUUAUAAUCGUGUGAAGGUACAGAUGUAAU